rnacentral:rRNA from 1 species
AUGGAUUCCAGAACAGCAUUCUGCGGCACUCUCCUACUGCUGGUAAUACUGCUGCCUGUUUCAGCUAACGCGUCGAGUAAACUCUACAUCGUGUAUAUGGGGGAGAAGAGGCAUGAUGAUCCAUCCAUGGUCACCGCGUCUCACCGUGACAUGCUAACCUCUGUUUUUGGGAGCAAGGAUGAAGCCUUGAGGUCGAUAGUUUACAGUUACAAGCAUGGAUUUUCUGGUUUUGCGGCGAUGCUCACCGAGUCUCAGGCUGAGACAAUCGCAAAAUUCCCAGAAGUUGUCACUGUGAAGCCUAACACUUAUCACGAAACGCACACAACUCGGAGCUGGGACUUUCUUGGCCUUGACCAUAACCAACCAGGACAACAACCGGGCCUACUCAGAAAAGCAAAGUAUGGUGAAGAUGUCAUCGUGGGUGUGAUCGAUACAGGCAUAUGGCCUGAAUCACGAAGCUUUGAUGACAAUGGGUAUGGCCCUGUGCCGGCACGGUGGAAAGGGAAAUGCCAGACUAGUCAGGAUUUCAACGCCACAAGUUGCAACAAAAAGAUCAUCGGUGCGCGGUGGUAUGGGCGUGGAAUCAGUGACGAGGUGCUAAACAGAAACUAUAAGUCGCCUAGGGACAUUGAAGGCCAUGGCACACACGUCGCGUCGACCAUCGCCGGCAGGGAAGUGCAGGGUGUGAGCUACGGAGGCCUAGGCAUGGGUGUGGCACGCGGCGGGGCGCCACGUGCGCGGCUCAGUAUCUACAAGGUGUGUUGGUUGGGUGGGAGUUGCCCUGAAGCAGCGGUCCUCGCGGCUAUCGAUGAUGCUAUGCAUGACGGUGUGGACGUCUUGUCGCUCUCGAUUGCUGGGGCUGGUCAUGAGUUUCCUGGGACGCUGCAUGCUGUGCAAAGAGGGAUCUCUAUCGUGGGCGACUUUAAAGACCUUGUUUAUGCCGGGAGCUGUGACACGGAGUCGUCACUGGCAUUGAGCAACGUCACCGGUAAAAUCGUCCUAUGCUAUCAACCCGUGGCGGCGAGAAGCAUGCCGCCUCGACAAGCACUUCCCAUAGCCAUCAAUCUCACCACCAUGGCUGGCGCCAAGGGCCUCAUAUUUGCACAGUACACUACUAACCUCCUCGACUUCCUGCCUUUGUGUAGGGGCGUUAUGCCCUGUGUAGUGGUGGAUUUUGAGAUCGCACAACGAAUUGCCUCCUAUUGGAGUUGGGUCAAAGGGAAUGCGGUGGUGAAGGUGUCACCUGCCAUGACCGUUGUCGGAAAAGGGGUGUUGUCGCCGAGGGUCGCCUCAUUCUCGUCGAGAGGUCCAAGCAUGUUGUUCCCUAGCAUACUCAAGCCCGACAUUGCUGCACCUGGCGUCAGCAUCUUGGCAGCGGACCGCGACUCCUACGUGUUCAAAUCCGGGACAUCCAUGGCGUGCCCGCAUGUCUCCGCUGUGACCGCACUGCUCAAGUCGGUUCACCCUGGCUGGUCACCUGCCAUGAUCAAGUCUGCCAUCGUCCCCACAGCAUCUGUGACUGAUCGUUUUGGCAUGCCAAUCCAAGCAGAAGCGGUCCCAAGGAAACUAGCUGACCCCUUCGACUUUGGUGGUGGACACAUAGACCCAGAUAGAGCUGUUGACCCUGGCUUGGUUUAUGACGUGGAUGCAAGAGAGUACAACAAGUUUUUGAACUGCACUCUUGGAUAUUUAGAUGGUUGUGAGUCCUACUACCUCAAUCUCAACCUCCCGUCAAUUGUCGUGCCGGACCUCAAGGACCAUGUCAUGCUUCGGCGCACAGUGACUAACGUUGGGCCAGCGGAAGCAACAUAUCAUUUAGUGGUUGAAGCUCCAGCAGGGAUAGAUGUGUCGGUAGAACCAUCUGUGAUUACUUUCACCAAAGGAAGCAGUAGAAGCGCAACAUUUAUGGUGACAUUCACCACAAGGCAGAGAGUGCAAGGAGGAUACACUUUUGGGAGCUUGACAUGGUCAGACGGAAGUACCCACUCAGUUCGAAUUCCGGUUGCUGUACGGACUGUGAUACAAGACUUUGUUGCAGAUACCGCUUAA